UUCGGGCUUCCAAUAGUACUGAAGUGCCAGGCACUGAAUCUGAAUGGAAGAAAAGGCAUUUUGUUGCGCAUGCUGACCGGAAGCAAAGACAAGAGGAGAGUUGGGAGGAGGUGCGGGAGCCAGUAUUGAGGUCAAUACUUAGGAAAAUGGGAAAACAUAGUUCAUCAUGUGCAGUUUGUGUCUCAUGUGCGUCGUCAGCUGUUAUCAGAUGCUUCAAAGAGUCGGGCUUCUCUACGAAAGCGUCUUGAAAAGGAGAGAAAGCAACUUCAGCAUUGUGUUAGUCUGCUGUCAUGUUUCUGUGGACGAAGUCACGCAAGAGGACUAUUUGUUGCCUUGGCAUAAUCCUGCAGGGAACAAGGGAGAAACAUUUGCUUUGAAGAAGAAAAUAGUUGAUAGACAUGAACACAUGACCAGGUACAUCGAGGAAUUGCCUGUGCUCAUUCAAGAGAUGGUAUCAACUGUUCUUUUCUUCAAGAAAAAAAAAAAACACCUUGGAAGACAGAAUCAACACCGUGAACAAUGAGGCCAUCAAAA